AUAACGCAGGGAAACUUGUGCUAAUACCGUAUGAGCCCUUCGGGGGAAAGAUUUAUCGGGAAAGGAUGAGCCCGCGUUGGAUUAGCUAGUUGGUGGGGUAAAGGCCUACCAAGGCGACGAUCCAUAGCUGGUCUGAGAGGAUGAUCAGCCACAUUGGGACUGAGACACGGCCCAAACUCCUACGGGAGGCAGCAGUGGGGAAUAUUGGACAAUGGGCGCAAGCCUGAUCCAGCCAUGCCGCGUGAGUGAUGAAGGCCCUAGGGUUGUAAAGCUCUUUCACCGGUGAAGAUAAUGACGGUAACCGGAGAAGAAGCCCCGGCUAACUUCGUGCCAGCAGCCGCGGUAAUACGAAGGGGGCUAGCGUUGUUCGGAAUUACUGGGCGUAAAGCGCACGUAGGCGGACAUUUAAGUCAGGGGUGAAAUCCCGGGGCUCAACCCCGGAACUGCCUUUGAUACUGGGUGUCUAGAGUAUGGAAGAGGUGAGUGGAAUUCCGAGUGUAGAGGUGA
rnacentral:rRNA from 1 species